GUCAUGUCCAUUAUUGGACUUUUCUGUUGAGCGGCAGUCAUUCCUUUGGCUUGUGGACGACGCCGUCGCCUUUCGGGUAGGUGGCGUUUCGACAUAGCGGCCAUUCGAGUAAAAUGAAAUACCUGCAUUAGGUAUUGAUUAUACACAAAAAUGCUGGAGAAACUCAGCGGGUGCAGCAGCAUCUAUGGAGCGAAGGAGAUAGGCAACGUUUCGGGCCAAAACCCUUCUUCAGAUGUCUUACCUUCUGACCUUGUUUAGAAAUUUCUUCUUGGUACGACGCUGAUAUUGAGGUCAAGGCUUCACUCGGGCCUAGUUAUUCCUCCAGUCGUUUAACCCGGGUUUUCCUUGUCUGUACUUUUGGGGGAGUUCUUUGAGUCAACAUUAAACAACUGUCAUCGCAGUCUGAUGACGUCACUCACCCCUCGACACAAUCUGCAGCCUUGUGGAAUAGUGCUGCCAUUCCUGCAGACCAGCCCGGAGCUUCAAGGCUUGACGCGGACUUACCAUCGCGGAGCGGGACAUCUUUUGCCGAGGAACACCACCAAAAGCCUGUGGACUUUAACAUCGUGAAGCCGCGGUCUCCGGUAAGAAGAGGCCAACUCGGAAGCUCCAUGCAAGGCAGUGUUCCGAUCCAUCUCGACGCCGGAGUUUCGAUCAUCCCGAUGCGAGGGCUUGAACAUCGGACCAUUGGCAGCGGCAAGUGCGGAGGGUUCGGCCCCGACCACGGGUGACCAAAGGAGGAAGAUGAUUGAACUUUAUUGCCUUCCAUCACAGUGAGGAAUGUUGAUUCCACUGUGGUGGAUGUUUAUGCUAAAUUUUAUUUUAUGUGGCUGUGUGUAUUGUUGCUUUUCACUUAGUAUGGUGUAUGGAAACUCAAAUUUCAUAGUACCUUAAUUGGUUAAGUGACAAUAAAUGUGAACUUGAACUUGAACAUUAUGACAAUAAAGGAAUUCAAUUCAAUUCAAUUCAACAUGACCAAUCAAUUUACAAUUAAUAUAAAAUCAUGUUGUUUUCCAUGUAGCCUGAAAACAUGAAAGUCAUUCUAUUGUUUUGUUACUGGAUAUAAAUAAAACAGUUUUGCUUAAUUUUAGCUAUUAUAUAUUCCGAGUUAACACAUUAAAGUUAACACAUUAAAGUUAACAUUAAAGUAACUUUAGAGUGUUAAAAGACAUGCAGCAAGGAUCUUUUUGACCUGGUGAUUGACCAUCACUCACCGAUUUAAACCAAUCUGCAUUAGCAUCAGCACAGAAUGGGGUGGGAGAUUGCAACCUUCACGUGAUCCACCCUGUUUCGACUAAUGCAAUCAACCCGAUGUGCACAAACAAAAGAUCAAAUAGAACAAGUUGCCCUCCAACUUUAGGCUGUGCACGUCGUACGCAAGAAGUAGAAGACAGCACAGAAGCAGACUCUUCCGUGAUACAGUGUAGCAGCACCUAGUGAUGGCUUGGGGCAUCACGAACCCUCGCUAUUGCCAGGCGUGGUUACAUGAUCACGGGGGUGUCUUCAUGGGUUUUUAUAUAGUCUUCAUUCAAGCUCCACCCUGUUAGAAGGAGUUUCACAUUUUUGGCCGAUCUAAAACGCGGCUGAGUAAAUUGCUUUGUUAUCAUUUAAAAUAAAGAAUCUUACUUUACUCAACCGACUCGACUUGUCAAGACAGCAGCCUAUGUGCUACACUUUCAAAAUUUCAAAGCAUUCAUUCUGUCAGAUAUGAUAGGGCUAAAAUAUUUUAUUGUUUUCAGUAGAUAGACACAAAAUGGUUGAGUGACUCAGCGGGUCAGGCAGCACUGAACAGAAGAACUGGAUGACGUUUCAGGUCGAGAGCCUUCAUUAGACUCAUUUAUUGUUUUCAGCAUUCUCUGUUUCUCUGUUAUUCUCUGUUUCUAAUUUAAUGUAUGUACAAUUGUUGUGUUUACCGUUCCAGUUGGUUACAAACCAAUAAAGCUGUUAAUGGGAACAUGCAGUUGUUCUCUUUAAAUGGGAAUUAAACCAUAAUCUAUAUUACUAAAAGUCUGAUCUUGACCACUUCCUGUUUUUCUGCUUCAUGAUUUUAGAAAAAAAAACGCUGCCACUUACGGUUGUGAUUUUUGGCCAUCUUACUCAGGGUC